rnacentral:rRNA from 1 species
GCACCACAAGGGGUGAAGUCUGCGGUUCAAUUGGAUUCAACGCCGGAAAUCUCACUGGAAGCGACGGCAGAAUGACAGCCAAGCUGAUGACUUUGCUUGACGAGUCGAGAGGAGGUGCAUGGCCGUCGUCAGCUCGUACCGUAAGGCGUCCUGUUAAGUCAGACAACGAACGAGACCCUCAUCUUUAGUUGCUACUGGUAAGUCUGCUUAUCAGGCACACUAAAGAAACCGCUGGCGAUAAGUCAGAGGAAGGCGAGGGCAACGGUAGGUCAGUAUGCCCUGAAUCCUCCGGGCUACACGCGCGCUACAAAGGCUAGGACAAUGGGCUUCAACACCGAAAGGUGACGGUAAUCCUGAAACCUAGUCAUAGUUCGGAUUGAGGGUUGAAACCCACCCUCAUGAAGCUGGAAUCCGUAGUAAUCGCGGGUCAACAUCCCGCGGUGAAUAUGCCCCUGCUCCUUGCACACACCGCCCGUCAAACCAUGCGAGUUGGGCCUGAGUGAGGAUAUAGUCUUUGCUAUGUUCGAACUUAGACUUAGUAAGCGGGGUU